CUUUUAUUUUGGUUGUUGGCUUGUGUUUAUUGCCAUUCUUAUUGUAGCUUUUCGUAACCUUUUGCUUUCAGCGUGCUUUCGGCUUUUUGGGGCCGGCCCAGUCAAGAAUUUAUUUGUUUGCCUUUAGCUUUGGCUUUGCUGUGGCACGAUGCACAGGGGCAGGCAACUGCAUAUAAAUAUGAUUAUUAAAUCGAUAUAAAUACAUUAGAUUUAAGUUCCCAUGCUGUACAUGCGUCCUUCCUGACGGUCACUUCAAUUAACAGUUCAUUCACACCUGGCCACAGUGUGCCUCGAUCACUUCAUCUAAUGUCACAGUUCAGACAUGCACUAAAUCACCAUCACCAUCACCAUUUCAUCCAUGACAUCCAUACUCUUGUGGACGCAAUUAACUUUUUGGACUCGCAUUUCUCAGCUGGUUUGAGUAAGUUUUUGCAGUUAUUUUGUGUUCCUUUUGUGGCGAAAUUCAUAAAUUCAACGCCUCUGCCAAGAGCGCAAUCCCCCCCUUCCAUGUGCUCUGUCUGCACAUGUGAGGCGCGUGUGUGUAAAGAUAUUUCAGUCACUGUUUAGCGUAUAUUUUUGUUAAUUUAUAGCCUAAAUUUGAUUUGAG
rnacentral:lncRNA from 1 species